UACGAAGGGGGCUAGCGUUGCUCGGAAUUACUGGGCGUAAAGGGCGCGUAGGCGGACUCUUAAGUCAGGGGUGAAAUCCUGGAGCUCAACUCCAGAACUGCCUUUGAUACUGGGAGUCUCGAGUUCGGGAGAGGUGAGUGGAACUGCGAGUGUAGAGGUGAAAUUCGUAGAUAUUCGCAAGAACACCAGUGGCGAAGGCGGCUCACUGGCCCGAUACUGACGCUGAGGUGCGAAAGCGUGGGGAGCAAACAGG
rnacentral:rRNA from 1 species